GGCGAACGGGUGAGUAACACGUGGGUGAUCUGCCCUGCACUUCGGGAUAAGCCUGGGAAACUGGGUCUAAUACCGGAUAGGAGCUCCUGCUGCAUGGUGGGGGUUGGAAAGUUUCGGCGGUUGGGGAUGGACUCGCGGCUUAUCAGCUUGUUGGUGGGGUAGUGGCUUACCAAGGCUUUGACGGGUAGCCGGCCUGAGAGGGUGACCGGCCACAUUGGGACUGAGAUACGGCCCAG
rnacentral:rRNA from 1 species